rnacentral:rRNA from 1 species
GAGAGUUUGAUUCUGGCUCAGAUUGAACGCUGGCGGCAGGCCUAACACAUGCAAGUCGAGCGGCAGCGGGAGGAAGCUUGCUUCCUCGCCGGCGAGCGGCGGACGGGUGAGUAAUGUCUGGGGAUCUGCCCGAUGGAGGGGGAUAACCACUGGAAACGGUGGCUAAUACCGCAUAACGUCGCAAGACCAAAGUGGGGGACCUUCGGGCCUCACACCAUCGGAUGAACCCAGAUGGGAUUAGCUAGUAGGUGGGGUAAUGGCUCACCUAGGCGACGAUCCCUAGCUGGUCUGAGAGGAUGACCAGCCACACUGGAACUGAGACACGGUCCAGACUCCUACGGGAGGCAGCAGUGGGGAAUAUUGCACAAUGGGCGCAAGCCUGAUGCAGCCAUGCCGCGUGUGUGAAGAAGGCCUUCGGGUUGUAAAGCACUUUCAGCGAGGAGGAAGGUGGUGAGCUUAAUACGUUCAUCAAUUGACGUUACUCGCAGAAGAAGCACCGGCUAACUCCGUGCCAGCAGCCGCGGUAAUACGGAGGGUGCAAGCGUUAAUCGGAAUUACUGGGCGUAAAGCGCACGCAGGCGGUUUGUUAAGUCAGAUGUGAAAUCCCCGAGCUUAACUUGGGAACUGCAUUUGAAACUGGCAAGCUAGAGUCUCGUAGAGGGGGGUAGAAUUCCAGGUGUAGCGGUGAAAUGCGUAGAGAUCUGGAGGAAUACCGGUGGCGAAGGCGGCCCCCUGGACGAAGACUGACGCUCAGGUGCGAAAGCGUGGGGAGCAAACAGGAUUAGAUACCCUGGUAGUCCACGCCGUAAACGAUGUCGAUUUGGAGGUUGUGCCCUUGAGGCGUGGCUUCCGGAGCUAACGCGUUAAAUCGACCGCCUGGGGAGUACGGCCGCAAGGUUAAAACUCAAAUGAAUUGACGGGGGCCCGCACAAGCGGUGGAGCAUGUGGUUUAAUUCGAUGCAACGCGAAGAACCUUACCUACUCUUGACAUCCAGAGAACUUUCCAGAGAUGGAUUGGUGCCUUCGGGAACUCUGAGACAGGUGCUGCAUGGCUGUCGUCAGCUCGUGUUGUGAAAUGGUGGGUUAAGUCCCGCAACGAGCGCAACCCUUAUCCUUUGUUGCCAGCGGUUCGGCCGGGAACUCAAAGGAGACUGCCAGUGAUAAACUGGAGGAAGGUGGGGAUGACGUCAAGUCAUCAUGGCCCUUACGAGUAGGGCUACACACGUGCUACAAUGGCGUAUACAAAGAGAAGCGAACCUGCGAAGGCAAGCGGACCUCAUAAAGUACGUCGUAGUCCGGAUUGGAGUCUGCAACUCGACUCCAUGAAGUCGGAAUCGCUAGUAAUCGUAGAUCAGAAUGCUACGGUGAAUACGUUCCCGGGCCUUGUACACACCGCCCGUCACACCAUGGGAGUGGGUUGCAAAAGAAGUAGGUAGCUUAACCUUCGGGAGGGCGCUUACCACUUUGUGAUUCAUGACUGGGGUGAAGUCGUAACAAGGUAACCGUAGGGGAACCUGCGGUUGGAUCACCU